rnacentral:rRNA from 1 species
CAGUCGCCGCGGUAAUACGAAGGGUGCAAGCGUUAAUCGGAAUUACUGGGCGUAAAGCGUGCGUAGGCGGUGAGUUAAGUCUGCUGUGAAAUCCCCGGGCUCAACCUGGGAAUGGCAAUGGAUACUGGCAAGCUAGAGUGUGUCAGAGGAUGGUGGAAUUCCCGGUGUAGCGGUGAAAUGCGUAGAGAUCGGGAGGAACAUCAGUGGCGAAGGCGGCCAUCUGGGACAACACUGACGCUGAGGCACGAAAGCGUGGGGAGCAAACAGGAUUAGAUACCCGUGUAGUCCCUGUCUCUUAUAC